ACACCCCACCCUUGUGCAUGGCAGGAUCUAGAAUCAAUUUUGAUUGAAAGCAUCAUGUUGAAGAUGAGCAUGAACAGUUCCGGAUUGAGAUGAACUAUAUUUUUGUGCUCCAAACAGGUAUGCUGUGGUCCAGCUGAAUGAAGCUUGUGACCGGGAUCUUGACUCCGCUAUUAACGCCAUGGAUUUUAGCCGUGUUCUGCGAACAAUUCCAUCAUGUACGCUGCUCAGAGAGCUUUGCGAUUAAGAAGUCGACAAAUAUUUCUAAUUAAGAAGCCAAACCCAAGUAGUGUUUUCUCAGAAGAUCUCACAUCUCAGGAAAGUGGGGAGAGCAUGUAACAGUAUUCAAAUCCGACUGGGCCAAAUCUGCAAGCAAUUGCGAUGCAGUGACAAGCCUCA